rnacentral:tRNA from 1 species
AAGGAUGUAUCUUAAUGGUAGAGCACAUGCUUAGCAUGCAUGAGGUCCUGGGUUCAACCCCCAGCACCUGCA